UACAGGGGGUGCAAACGUUGCUCGGAAUUAUUGGGCGUAAAGCGCACGUAGGCGGUCUGUUAAGUCGGAUGUGAAAGCCCCGGGCUCAACUCGGGAAGUGCAUUCGAAACUGGCAGGCUUGAAUAUGGAAGAGGGUCGCGGAAUUCCACGUGUAGCGGUGAAAUGCGUAGAGAUGUGGAGGAACACCAGUGGCGAAGGCGGCUUUCUGGUCUGUAACUGACGCUGAGGCGCGAAAGCGUGGGGAGCAAACAGG
rnacentral:rRNA from 1 species